ensembl:lncRNA
CUAAUUUCCGGAUUUCCCUAUGGUCUCCGCGGUAAACGUCACAACGCUUUGAACUGUGGGUAAUUCUCUUAGGUAAAGUCUGCACUGAUGCAGACUCACGGUAAGUGUGGACUCAAACCCUCAUGCCCUUUGGAUUCGACAUUGGGACAGCCUUAAAGCCUUAAUAAUUUCGCGAGAACGCGUAUGAAAGUCCGUGAGUCCGGAUAUUUGGAUUGGGCGCAUCUCUCCGAGUCAUACCUAGCCUGAAACGACGAUGCCACAAAGGAUCAAAUUCGUUUUUCAUCAACUCCAAAGAACUUUACGGAGGGGAAGACUGAACAGCAAUGACAAAAAUUUGUGAAACUCGGCCCACAUUUGUUGCUCAGUGUAUGAUCCGACAACGCUCCAACGCAGCCCCAGCCGGCAGGUCUUUGAUGGUCUCAGACGGAAUCCAACUCAAACUGUGAUCCGAUCAGCCAGAAGGCCCACCUCCCACGGUGGUGGUGAUCCCGUUGUCAUUUCCGAGGGAUGCCGGACUGUUCAAUAUGGAAAGCUGGAGUGAGAGGCGUGCUUGGGAGAAUUUAAAGUGCUUUCCCGCGACUCGCCUCCGAUCCUGCCUGUUCUCUGAUCCCUGCCUUUCUGACCAUCCUGCCUGCCGCCCAGCCCCUGUCGGCCUGUCUGCUCCUCUGCCCCCGACUCCUGAUCCUCCAGCCUGCCUCCCCUGCUUUCGACCCUUCGCCUGCCUGACCUCCCGAUCACCGUAGAGUUUCUGUUGGUCUGUCUGUUCACCUGUUCCCUACUGCCCAUCUGCCCUCCCGUUGCCGACCUCUGCCUGCUGACUACUCUUUGCCUGCCGAUCCUGUAUCUGAAU